AACGAACGCUGGCGGCAGGCUUAACACAUGCAGGUCGAGCGCCUCGCAAGAGGAGCGGCAGACGGGUGAGUAACGCGUGGGAACGUACCCUUAUCUUCGGAAUAGCUCUGGGAAACUGGAAGUAAUACCGAAUGUGCCCUUAGGGGGAAAGAUUUAUCGGAUAAGGAUCGGCCCGCGUUGGAUUAGCUAGUUGGUGGGGUAAAGGCCUACCAAGGCGACGAUCCAUAGCCGGUCUGAGAGGAUGAUCAGCCACAUUGGGACUGAGACACGGCCCAAACUCCUACGGGAGGCAGCAGUGGGGAAUAUUGGACAAUGGGCGCAAGCCUGAUCCAGCCAUGCCGCGUGAGUGAUGAAGGCCUUAGGGUUGUAAAGCUCUUUCACCGGAGAAGAUAAUGACGGUAUCCGGAGAAGAAGCCCCGGCUAACUUCGUG
rnacentral:rRNA from 1 species